rnacentral:rRNA from 1 species
AGAACGAACGCUGGCGGCACGCCUAACACAUGCAAGUCGAGCGCCCAGCAAUGGGAGCGGCGGACGGGUGAGGAACACGUGGGAACAUGCCUUUCGGUUCGGCACAACUGCGGGAAACUGCAGCUAAUUCCGGAUACGCCCUUACGGGGAAAGAUUUAUCGCCGAAAGAUUGGCCCGCGUCUGAUUAGCUAGUUGGUGAGGUAAUGGCUCACCAAGGCUUCGAUCAGUAGCUGGUUUGAGAGAACGACCAGCCACACUGGGACUGAGACACGGCCCAGACUCCUACGGGAGGCAGCAGUGGGGAAUCUUGGACAAUGGAGGAAACUCUGAUCCAGCGAUGCCGCGUGAGUGAUGAAGGCCUUCGGGUUGUAAAACUCUUUCGACGGGGACGAUAAUGACGGUACCCGUAGAAGAAGCUCCGGCUAACUCGUGCCAGCAGCCGC